CCUACGGGAGGCAGCAGUGGGGAAUAUUGGGCAAUGGAGGCAACUCUUACCCAGCAAUGCCGCGUGAAUGAAGAAGGUCUUCGGAUUGUAAAGUUCUUUAAUUGGGGACGAAAAAAAUGACGGUACCCAAGGAAUAAGCCACGGCUAACUACGUGCCAGCAGCCGCGGUAAUACGUAGGUGGCAAGCGUUGUCCGGAUUUACUGGGUGUAAAGGGCGUGUAGCCGGGUUGACAAGUCAGAUGUGAAAUCCUGCGGCUUAACCGCAGAACUGCAUUUGAAACUGUUGAUCUUGAGUACUGGAGAGG
rnacentral:rRNA from 1 species